rnacentral:lncRNA from 12 species
AAAGGGAGGGGAGACGAGAGAAGACCCUCAGAUUGUGUUGAACAAAGCUCUGUGACUCAGUAUUACAAAUAUGGCAGCUGUUGUACACACUGACAAGAGCCAUCCCAAAUAUCUCUGCAUGCAUGGUUCAGUUAUAUUUUUAUAGUCUCAGGAAUAGUAGCCUAAUAGCAUUUUGAGAAUUAAUAAUAAACCAUCUCUGUUCUAUUUUUAUGACAACGUGGUCAUAAUCGGUGUCAAAUAUCCUACCCUCACCAUUUUGCACAGAAUCACAUCACAUUUUACAUAUUUACUGUAUUACAUUUAGCUGCUAUAAAACAAUACUAUAUAUAUAUAUAUAUAUAUAUAUAUAUAAAUUAUAUGAAAAACAUACAGUAUUAUUAUAUUUUAAAUAAAUAAACAAAAAUACAUAUAAGUUCAAAUAAAGUUUAGAAAUAUCGUAAAAGACUGUAUAGUGUCUAUUGAUCCAGUGAUUUGAUUCUUGCUUAAAGGUCCAAAACCUGUCUGCGUAUACAAAUAGCUUUACAAGUAUACAGCUCUUGUUGAACCAAGCAAAACUGUUUAAAUCUCAAACUACUAAUAUAAAGUAGCCUACUAGGACUGCUACUCCAAAUUUACAAUUUCAUUUGGAAAUGUACAAUUUAAAAAAAAAAAAAAAAGCAGUGAAUUAAAUUAAUAACAAAGCCAAAAUAUCUAGCAAGAAAAAAAAAACUUAUUUUUUAAGAAAGUUUUCUUGGCGUGUUACGGAAAAACAUCACUUUUAACGUUAAGUUCAUUACUGCACCAUAUGUCUGCUUGAAUUUUGUAAAGGCACUAUUAACGGACGCCUAAAGGGAGGUCCUACUCAGAAUAUAUAAACCGCCACAUUGCGGGCGGAAAAGCCCUCACCCUCAUUCUGUCGUAGAAGAAGCUUGUGUGAUAUGUGCGGGAAGACCGAGUGGACGCUGCACUGCUGCUCUGAGAGUGGGAUCUGUGUGACUGGCCUGUGGACGAGCUUCCUGGUUUCUACAAGUACUGCUUGAUGUGUGAAAUUCUCCCCCUCCACAAUACAAAUGCUGGUUAUCUUUGUGUAAAUCUAUAGCUCUGUUUUAUGUACUUAGUGUAAGUUUGCUCCUUUUUUGAUUUACCAUUAAAUGAGACCCUGAAACCAUCGUUGCAGUUUUCAGAUUGAUUUGGAAAGUGCUGUUAAACUAGUGUACGAAAAUUGUCAAAGUGUAUUAUGCUGCAUUACAAUAAAUGCUUAAUCUAAUCUGUAACUUGUUAGCUGGCUAAAAGUGGCGAGAAAUGAUCUAGAAAUAUAAGGCUGAGGAAAAGUGACAACCCCGUUUGACUUAGUUUACACUUGAUUUAGGUGUUUUAAUUUUUCAACAAAUCUAAGAUGCGUAGCUGUCUCUUCCCCUCACGUGAUCGUGAUUUGGCGGUCUUUAACAUUAAAAAGCGGUCCUGAAUUUUUCUGAAUUGCAGGUAGCCGAUGUAAGAGUUUAACCCGUUGCAAAUCAUUAAAUCAGUUUUGUGUAGUCCCUUUCAUAAUGCAACAUUGGUUCAUUGGAUGUAGAAAAAUUUUUGCGGGAAACCACAAGUGAGCACGUAAUUGGCAGAAUUUGAA